GACGAACGCUGGCGGCGCGCUUAACACAUGCAAGUCGAACGGAAAGGCCUGCUUUCCCUUGUGGAUUGCGGGUACUCGAGUGGCGAACGGGUGAGUAACACGUGAGUGAUCUGCCCCCAACUUGGGUAUAAGCCUGGGAAACUGGGUCUAAUUCCCGAUAGGACUGCAGGGUGGUGCCUGUGGUGGAAAACGAUUUUCUAGUGGUUGGGGAUGAGCUCGCGGCCUAUCAGCUUGUUGGUGGGGUAAUGGCCUACCAAGGCGGCGACGGGUAGCCGGCCUGAGAGGGUGGACGGCCACAUUGGGACUGAGAUACGGCCCAGACUCCUACGGGAGGCAGCAGUGGGGAAUAUUGCACAAUGGGCGGAAGCCUGAUGCAGCGACGCCGCGUGGGGGAUGACGGCCUUCGGGUGGUAAACUCCUUUCGACCGCGGGGAAGCCACCUGGUUGGAAGGGUGGUGACGGUAGUGGUAGAAGAAGCACCGGCUAACUACGUG
rnacentral:rRNA from 1 species